AGUCUUAUAGUCUAAUAAAGAUUUUAAAUUGCAAAUUUAAAGAUAAAUUUAAGUUUUAUGACUU
rnacentral:tRNA from 1 species